AUUUUGUUUUUCUUUUUGGUUUGAGUUUUUUUUUUUUCUGCCAUUGGAACCGGCAUUCCUCAUGACAUCCACCAGAUGUCGCCAACAUGCAGAGCCCCUGGGAAGCGGCUGAGUUCAACCCGUCUACACACCUGCAGCUUGUUUUGGAGGGCGUGGAUUAUGGACUUAAGCAGCAGCUCCUCUUCUUCUCAUCGCCUGAGUGUUUGCUUACUUCGAUAUCCUGCUGUUCUCUCGCGGUUCUGGCGAAGAACAGUCCUUCCCAAAUUCCGUGUGAGUCUGUGCCUCCCUCAUUGUGGAUACCUACCUCCUGUGUCCUCCCUCGACGCUGUCGGUGCUACCGGUCAGACGCCACUCCUCGUGUGCUCACCUUUUCCUCUCGUCGAUCCCUCUCCGGUGGAAUCCCCUUCCUUCCAAGUAAGACAGACUCUGAAUCAUUCCUGAAGGAUUCUCACCUUACUAUUCUAACCCGGCUUCUCCUGUUGGUAGCAAGACGACCCGGUCAUCAGCUCCAGUGUUCGCUUCCUGACCCCUCCCCUGACUUCAAUAAAACGUAUUAUUGUGCACUUUA